rnacentral:rRNA from 1 species
GAUGAACGCUGGCGGCGUGCCUAAUACAUGCAAGUAGAACGCUGAAGCUUGGUGCUUGCACCGAGCGGAUGAGUUGCGAACGGGUGAGUAACGCGUAGGUAACCUGCCUCUUAGCGGGGGAUAACUAUUGGAAACGAUAGCUAAUACCGCAUAAAAGUCGAUAUCGCAUGAUAUUGAUUUGAAAGGUGCAAUUGCAUCACUAAGAGAUGGACCUGCGUUGUAUUAGCUAGUUGGUGAGGUAACGGCUCACCAAGGCGACGAUACAUAGCCGACCUGAGAGGGUGAUCGGCCACACUGGGACUGAGACACGGCCCAGACUCCUACGGGAGGCAGCAGUAGGGAAUCUUCGGCAAUGGACGGAAGUCUGACCGAGCAACGCCGCGUGAGUGAAGAAGGUUUUCGGAUCGUAAAGCUCUGUUGUUAGAGAAGAACGUUGGUAGGAGUGGAAAAUCUACCAAGUGACGGUAACUAACCAGAAAGGGACGGCUAACUACGUGCCAGCAGCCGCGGUAAUACGUAGGUCCCGAGCGUUGUCCGGAUUUAUUGGGCGUAAAGCGAGCGCAGGCGGUUCUUUAAGUCUGAAGUUAAAGGCAGUGGCUUAACCAUUGUACGCUUUGGAAACUGGAGGACUUGAGUGCAGAAGGGGAGAGUGGAAUUCCAUGUGUAGCGGUGAAAUGCGUAGAUAUAUGGAGGAACACCGGUGGCGAAAGCGGCUCUCUGGUCUGUAACUGACGCUGAGGCUCGAAAGCGUGGGGAGCAAACAGG